rnacentral:rRNA from 1 species
GGCUCAGGACGAACGCUGGCGGCGUGCUUAACACAUGCAAGUCGAACGCUGAAGCUUGGUGCUUGCACUGGGUGGAUGAGUGGCGAACGGGUGAGUAAUACGUGAGUAACCUGCCCUUGACUCUGGGAUAAGCCUGGGAAACUGGGUCUAAUACUGGAUACGACAUGUCACCGCAUGGUGGCGUGUGGAAAGGGUUUUACUGGUUUUGGAUGGGCUCACGGCCUAUCAGCUUGUUGGUGGGGUAAUGGCUCACCAAGGCGACGACGGGUAGCCGGCCUGAGAGGGUGACCGGCCACACUGGGACUGAGACACGGCCCAGACUCCUACGGGAGGCAGCAGUGGGGAAUAUUGCACAAUGGGCGAAAGCCUGAUGCAGCGACGCCGCGUGAGGGAUGACGGCCUUCGGGUUGUAAACCUCUUUCAGCACGGAAGAAGCGA